rnacentral:pre_miRNA from 7 species
UUGGCAGUUCCCAGCUCUGAGAACUGAAUUCCAUGGACUGGUUUCAAUUCCAUGCGUUCAGUCCAUGGUAUUCAGUUCUCUAGCUUGGCUGCAUCAA